CAGUAAAAAAGUUUUCAAUGGGUAGCCU
rnacentral:miRNA from 1 species